AACCCAUGGUGAGGGCACCUUCUCAGUAAGUCUUUGUAUCUCUCCCGUCCAUCGUAAAUAGUUUCUAAGUCCAUCUGCAAAAACAAAGAGAUAUCAUUACGUAAUUU
rfam:Gossypium arboreum cultivar AKA8401 contig_88857_1, whole genome shotgun sequence.